GUGCCAGCCGCCGCGGUAAUACCGGCAGCACGAGUGAUGGCCGAUUUUAUUGGGCCUAAAGCGUCCGUAGCCGGCCAAGCAAGUUCGUCGGGAAAUCUGCCCGCUUAACGGGCAGGCGUCCGGCGAAAACUGUUUGGCUUGGGGCCGGAAGAUCCGAGGGGUACGUCCGGGGUAGGAGUGAAAUCCCGUAAUCCUGGACGGACCACCGGUGGCGAAAGCGCCUCGGAAAGACGGACCCGACGGUGAGGGACGAAAGCUAGGGUCUCGAACCGGAUUAGAAACCCCGGUAGUCC
rnacentral:rRNA from 1 species